rnacentral:rRNA from 1 species
GACGAACGCUGGCGGCGUGCUUAACACAUGCAAGUCGAACGGAAAGGCCCUGCUUUUGUGGGGUGCUCGAGUGGCGAACGGGUGAGUAACACGUGAGUAACCUGCCCUUGACUUUGGGAUAACUUCAGGAAACUGGGGCUAAUACCGGAUAGGAGCUCCUGCUGCAUGGUGGGGGUUGGAAAGUUUCGGCGGUUGGGGAUGGACUCGCGGCUUAUCAGCUUGUUGGUGGGGUAGUGGCUUACCAAGGCUUUGACGGGUAGCCGGCCUGAGAGGGUGACCGGACAAAAUGGGACUGAGAUACGGCCCAGACUACUACGGGAGGCAGCAGUGGGGAAUAUUGCACAAUGGGCGGAAGCCUGAUGCAGCAACGCCGCGUGCGGGAUGACGGCCUUCGGGUUGUAAACCGCUUUCGCCUGUGACGAAGCGUGAGUGACGGUAAUGGGUAAAGAAGCACCGGCUAACUACGUG